AGUGAACGCUGGCGGUAGGCCUAACACAUGCAAGUCGAACGAACGCACAGUGAGAGCUUGCUCUUACGGGUGGAGCAUGGCGGAAGGGUGCGGAAGACAUCGGAAUAUACUUUUUAACGGGGGCUAACGUAGGGAGACUUACGCUAGUACCGGAUACGACCUACUGAUGAAAGCAGGCGAUCUUCGAGCCUUGCGCGAGUGAUUGAGCCGAUGUCGGGUUAGCUAGUGGGCGGGGUAAAUGACGACCAAGACGCAGAUCCGUAGCUGGUCUGAGAGCAUGAUCAGGCACACUGGAACUGAGACAGGGUCCACACGCCUACGGGAGGAAGCAGUGGGGAAUCUUACACAAUGGGGCAAAGCCUGAUCCAGCGCUACCGCCGGGGUGAAGAAGCACCCCGGGUGGGUAAGUCCUGUUGUUGGGAAAGAAAAGAAGCUGUUUAAUACCCCGCUGUACUGACGGUACCCAAAGAAUAAGCACCGGCUAACUUCGUG
rnacentral:rRNA from 1 species